rnacentral:rRNA from 1 species
AUUGAACGCUGGCGGCAGGCCUAACACAUGCAAGUCGCACGAGUGGCGGACGGGUGAGUAAUGUCUGGUAAACUGCCUAAUGGUGGGGGAUAACUACUGGAAACGGUAGCUAAUACCACCUAACAUCAGAUGUGCCCAGAUGGGCUUAGCUAGUUGGUGGGGUAACGGCACACCAAGGCGACGAUCCCUAGCUGGUCUGAGAGGAUGACCAGCCACACUGGAACUGAGACACGGUCCAGACUCCUACGGGAGGCAGCAGUGGGGAAUAUUGCACAAUGGGCGCAAGCCUGAUGAAGCCAUGCCGCGUGUAUGAAGAAGGCCUUCGGGUUGUAAAGUACUUUCAGCGGGGAGGCGUUACCCGCAGAAGAAGCACCGGCGAACUCCGUGCCAGCAGCCGCGGUAAUUC